AUUGAACGCUAGCGGGAUGCCUUACACAUGCAAGUCGAACGGAGUGGCGAACGGGUGAGUAAUGUAUCGGAACGUGCCCAGUCGCGGGGGAUAACUACGCGAACGCGUAGCUAAUACCGCAUACUAUUGGAGCGGCCGAUAUCGGUUUAGCUAGUUGGUGGGGUAACGGCCCACCAGGGCGACGAUCCGUAGCUGGUUCGAGAGGACGACCAGCCACACUGGGACUGAGACACGGCCAAGACUCCUACGGGAGGCAGCAGUGGGGAAUAUUGGACAAUGGGGUGAACCAUGAUCCAGCCAUCCCGCGUGUGCGAUGAAGGCCUUCGGGUUGUAAAGCACUUUUGGCGGGGAAGCGGUACCUGCAGAAGAAGCACCGGCUAACUACGUGCCAGCAGCCGCGGUAAUAC
rnacentral:rRNA from 1 species